rnacentral:rRNA from 1 species
GACGAACGCUGGCGGUGUGCUUAACAUAUGCAAGUCGAACGGAAAGGCCCUGCUUUUGUGGGGUGCUCGAGUGGCGAACGGGUGAGUAACACGUGAGUAACCUGCCCUUGACUUUGGGAUAACUUCAGGAAACUGGGGCUAAUACCGGAUAGGAGCUCCUGCUGCAUGGUGGGGGUUGGAAAGUUUCGGCGGUUGGGGAUGGACUCGCGGCUUAUCAGCUUGUUGGUGGGGUAGUGGCUUACCAAGGCUUUGACGGGUAGCCGGCCUGAGAGGGUGACCGGCCACAUUGGGACUGAGAUACGGCCCAGACUCCUACGGGAGGCAGCAGUGGGGAAUAUUGCACAAUGGGCGGAAGCCUGAUGCAGCAACGCCGCGUGCGGGAUGACGGCCUUCGGGUUGUAAACCGCUUUCGCCUGUGACGAAGCGUGAGUGACGGUAAUGGGGAAAGAAGCACCGGCUAACUACGU